GUAGCUGUAGCUCAGUGGCAGAGUGCUUGCCUAGCGUGCAUGAGGCCCUGGGUUCAAUUCUCAGCACCACA
rnacentral:tRNA from 1 species